rnacentral:rRNA from 1 species
AACUGGUUUGAAAAAAAAUUUUUAGUUCCCCUAAAGUAAAACUAACCCACAUAAUUACCCCAAUUACUUUAGAGCAAUUCAACUGAGGUACAGCCCAUUUGAUUUAGGAUCCAACCUUUACUAACGGGUAACACUUAAUUUACAUCUACAAGUAGGCCCAAGAGCAGCCACCUUUUAAAAAGCGUCAAAGCUUAACUUAGUGCAUCUUAAUCCAAAAACCCAUAUCGAACCCUUUUACCGUAUUGAGAAUUUCUAUAACACUAUAGAACCUUUUAUGCUAAAACUAGUAACAAGAGGACCACCCUCUCCUUAAUGCAAAUGUAAGCCAGCAAGAACUUAUCACCGGCAAUUAACAGCUCUAAACAAAAAUAGCAACCUUACCAGAAAAUCCUACUUUUAACCCCCUGUUAACCUAACACUAGAGCAUUUCAAGAAAGAUUAAAAGAAAAAGAAGGAACUCGGCAAACAUUAGCCUCGCCUGUUUACCAAAAACAUCGCCUCUUGCCCCCCCCCUAAGAGGUCCAGCCUGCCCAGUGACUUUGUUUAACGGCCGCGGUAUCCUAACCGUGCGAAGGUAGCGUAAUCACUUGUUUUUUAAAUGAAGACCAGUAUGAAAGGCAUCACGAGGGCUAAACUGUCUCCUCUCUCUAAUCAGUUAACCUGUUCUCCCCGUGAAGAAACGGGGAUUCUCCUAUAAGACGAGAAGACCCUAUGGAGCUUAAAACAUAAUAACACCUGCCACUACUCAUCAAGCAUUACGAUAACCUGCAGGAUGAUUAUAAGUUUUUGGUUGGGGUGACCGUGGAGAAAAUUUUAUCCUCCACAAUGAAAGGAAUAUAUUCCUAAACAAUAAGUUACAGCUUUACGUAUCAAAAAAUUGACAUCCAUUGACCCAAAAAAUUGAUCAACGAACCAAGUUACCCUAGGGAUAACAGCGCAAUCCACUUCGAGAGCUCUUAUCGACAAGUGGGCUUACGACCUCGAUGUUGGAUCGGGGUAUCCCAGUGGUGCAGCCGCUACUAAAGGUUCGUUUGUUCAACGAUUAAAACCCCACGUGAUCUGAGUUCAGACCGGAGCAAUCCAGGUCAGUUUCUAUCUAUAAUAGAGCUUUUUUUAGUACGAAAGGAUUAAAACAGCAUGGCCAAUACCCCCGCAAGCCAUAGUUGAUCAUUCUUGACCUCAACUUAAAAGAAUACAACCU